UUACGACUUAUCAAAUACCCCCACACUUAAGUGUUUGCUUGUUCUCAAGCAAAAUCCUCAACUCACAACCAAAAUAAAUUCUUCUCAACUUAUAAUUCUCAUUAAUAAUGUCUCAAAAUAAUCCACAAGUAGUCAUGCAUUGAAAAUUUAACUAAAAGAACAUUAAAGUUUCAAAUAGUCAAAGUCGAGCAUUUUAAUCAUAAAA
rnacentral:lncRNA from 1 species